GGAGAAAGGGAGGAAAGAAGAAAUGAAGGAAGGAAGAAAGGGAGGGAGGAAGGAAAAAACAAAGAGUAGAAGGAAGAAAGUGAGAAGGGAAAGAGUCAGGGAUGGAAGGAAGGAAGGAGGGAAGAGAGGGAAGGAGGAAGAAAGGAAGGGAGGAAGGAGGGAAGACAAAGGAAGGAAAAUGAAAGUCAUUUUUUGGAGCUCUUGAUCCCCCAGGUCCUUUGCAUUUCUGUCACCACCUCUAGCAUUAGGGUAUAACCCAGAGUUUCUUUAAUUUGUAGAUGUGCCUGGGGGACUGUGGAAAAUGUGCAAGUGUGCAAACCUAAAGCUAUCUGAAGAAAGCUCACCUCGUGCCCCCUGAUCUGCAAGUCGCUCCACAGACAACUUCCCAGGAUUAGAGGAUGCCUUGUUCUCUUUGGCCACAGACUCCACUCAGCAGGAAGAGGAGGGAUCAAAUUCAGCCACGUGGACUCCAGGGAAGUCCAUCCACAGCCCUGCCAUGUAGGAAGGUGACCCCAGGACACAGUCAGGCUAAAACCUGUACCAUGAUGGACCCUGUCACACUCUUGCCGGCACCUGUGGAGCCACCACCUGGAACAAGUUCAGGAACAUUUCCGCACCCAAGGAGGCAAGCCACACCCACCCAAGGUGACCAAUCCCAGCCUGUGUCAGCUCGGGAAUGUCACAUAAAUGGAAUCCCGCGGAAGAGGGAAUGCUCCUUCUGUUUACCAUCUCCUCGACCAGCUUCACCUACACUGUUGCGGGAGGCAGUGACUUCUUGUUUUUAUGGCUGUGUAGUACCCAAGCCCAGGGGCCACCGCGGCAUUUCACUGGGGACAGAAACGAUUUUCAACGCAUUGUGCUGGGACUAUGGGAUGGCUGCAAGGACCUCGGCCCUCAACUUCAUCUGAAUACAAAAAUGGCUCAGGAUGGAUGCCAGGCUUGGGUGUGGAGUGUGGAGACAGUCUGCAUGGCCUUGUGACACAAGCAUUUCUUCAACAGGACACAAAGAUCCCUCACUGGGAAAGAAGAAAUUGAUAUGUUGAACUUCAUUAAAAUUAACAACUUCUCUCCAUCAAAAGACGCCCUUCAGAAAGCGAAAGGGCAAGCCUCAGGCUGGGAUUUCCUCUGAGCCGAUCUUGGCUCCUCUCUCCCCAAUGAUUUACUAAGUACUUCAGUGUGCACUCUUUUCCCUCUUCUUUUUCUCCUGACAUUCAGGAGACCCAAAUGAUUUACCUACAGGGUCUCAGGCUGGGCAUGGUGGCUCAUAACUAUAAUUCCAAGAACUUUGGGAGGUUGAGCUGAGAGGAUUGCUUGAGUCCAGGAAUUCAAGACCAGCCUGGGAAACAUGGCAAAACUCUGUCUCUACCAAAAAAAAUACAAAAAUUAGCCGGAUGUGGUGGCAUGCCUGUAGUCCCCACAAUUCCAGAGGCUGAGGUGGGAGGAUCAUCUGAUACCAGGAGGUUGAGGCUGCAGUGAGCUAUUAUUGCACUAGUGCGUCCAGCCUGGGCAACAGAGUGAGACCUUGUCUCAAAAAACAAACACACACGCUCACGCGCGCACACACACACACACACACACACGAAACAAACAGCAACAACAAAACAAACAAAAAAAUAAAACAAAAAGCCCUGUAGGGUCUUAUUCCUGACCAGGGCUUUUGCAGUAGUAAUGGCCUCACUUGAAACUCCCACAGUCAUGUUAAUUCUGCCCACAGGAUUGCGAGGCAGGUGAGAUCAUUAUUUCCACCUUCCAGCUAAGGCAGCUGAGACUCAGGGAGGUGAAGGCACUUGCCAGGUUCACACAGCAACAUCCCCAGCUGAUGUUUUGGCUGGGCAUGCCUGGUACAGAGGAGGUGCUGACUAUGUGCUUGGAAGCGGAUUUCCAGCCCCGCGGCUCCCCAAGCCUGUGCUUGUGUGUUUCAGGGAGGGAGACGAAGUAUCCAGGAGCGUUCCCAACAGAAGACAAUUUCCUCACAGGUUAUGAACACCAGACAAACGCUGCAGGACACCCAUAUGCUCCCUCCUGGUGCCAAGAAGCAACUAAGCCCCAAGACCAGGUCUCCGCCCUCGGCCUUCACCUUCUCUCAUGACCUAGGGACAUGGAAAAGGGAUGGCAGGACACCAACACAGCGUUUAUUUUCCCUCCUGGGACUCUGGCCACUUUCCAUCUGCAGACAGUGCCCAGAGCCACAUCAAGCUCCAAGGUCAACACUUGACCACUGCAGAGGGGAGCUGGCUCCUGCCUUGCCAGAUCUCUAAGCAACUCCACCCCCCAGAGGUGCAUUGUGGCACAGAGAUGCCAACUGGUCCUCAGCCCCCACCUUCCAUUCAGUGCCUGGCAUUUCCUGCUGGGCCCCCUGUGCCCUGUUCUUCCCAGCACGGCUGCUGUUUCAGAAUCUGUAGCCCUUGGAAAUAACAAAAGGCCACAGGAAAGAGCAAGAGGCCCCUCUCGCAGUGUCACAGGGAGGACUGAGGCAAUGCAUAUAGGAACUGGACUCUGCAGGGCCCAGGGUCCAGGGCUGGCUCUGCGAUUUGCUGACUGUGUGGCUUUGGGUGGGUUCCACAACCUCCCUGAAUGUCUCGUAGGACUCUUUCCGAAGCUCAUGACCAAUCCCCUGUCCACUCAAUGCAGCAGCCUGAGCUUGCAGGCCCGUAAUGCAUGAUGCCGGUGAGGACAGAGCACAGGGAAGUUUGUGCCAGUAUAAACCAUACAGUAUGGCAUCUCCAUACAUUUCACAAAUAUUUGCUGAGAAGCUUCUAAGUUCUGGGCACUGAGAGGGAUCCAGAGAUGACUACACCACCUCAGGGAGCCCAAAGCCGAGGGGAAGAGCCAGGACAGGGCCUUGCCAUCUGCCACUCCCCCUACCCUGUGCUCUGGGGACUGCGGCAUCCUCAGGUUGUGGACAGGGAAGCUGGGGGCCACCCAGACAAGAGGAGGUGCUGGAGGUCACACAGCCAAUAUGCCUUGCUGGCCCUCCCAUCUGCUGUGUCUUCCUCUGCCACCAUCCAGGCAGGCUGGAAUUGCGUUUUGAUGGAGGAGAUUUUGGUUAGGAAGAUGGGAGUGGUGGUAGCAGUUCGGAGCAUGGGGAAGGGACAGGAAGCACCAGAUGAGUUUUGUGGGCAGCAAGUAGGUCAAUGUGGUCAAGACCCAAUGGUCCCUGGGGUAGCAGGACAAGCACAGGGACAAACAGGGAGACAGGGUGCCGAAAGGCUCUGGGGAGCCCGAGGCCUCAGCCUGAAGCCACAGGAGUGUUGCCCGCAUAUCUGACCAAACCCUGAGCUCCAAGCUGGGAACACACAGAGGAACUGGGCACUUCCCUGACCCCGGGAGCUUACUGCCUUGUCAAACAGUCAGAGGUGGAAAAGGGAAAGUGCAGGCGGCAGUGGGGCCGGGGAGCCCCUGGCCCAGCCUGGGCAGCAAGGAGGGCUUUCGUGGAGAUGCAGGUCCUCGCCUAGAUCUGAAAAGCUGAACAGGAGCCAGCUAGGUGGAAAGGGGCGGGAGGAUCCAAAGGGAGAGGUGACAGCAGGAGCCAAGCCUCUGUGGCUGCGUGAGGGUGAGAAGGGACUCAGCCCAGAGGAGAGAGGAGAGCAGCCCUGAGCAAGAGGAAAGAGGCCUUUUCCUCCAGGUGGGAGCUGGGGGUGGGCAGAAGGAAGGAGAAGGCAAGGAUUGAUUUUGUGGGUGCUGGGAGGGGGGUGCUGAGGACUGGAUAGGGGAUUGGGGUGACAGGAGGUACAUCUGUUCUCAUUCCCACCGUUCCCCGCCACUCCAUACUCCACUGCUCUAGCCAUGUGGGUCCCCUGCUGCCCCUCCAACAUAGCUGCACUCUCCUGCCUCUGGGCCUUUGUGUGUGGGGUUCCUCUGGCCUAGAAAGCCUUCUCCCAUUGUUUGCAGGGCUCACUCCUUGUCAUCCUCACCUGUGCUCGUGUCUCCUCUUCUCAUGGGCCUUCCUUAGCCACCCCCUCACCCAUGAUGUCCUGUUCGUUCUGUUUUGCUUUUUUCCUGAAAAUGUACUACUACCUGACAUAGCAUGUAUUUAUGGUCUUAUUUGCUUAUUUUCUGUCUCACCCAAUGAACAUGUACUCUCAGAGAAUUCAUUGGUUUGGCCCUGGUUGUAUGCCUGGCACUUAGCACCAGGCAUGAGGUUGGUGCUCAAUAAAAGGGUGUCAGGUAAAGAAGUGACUCAAUGGAGCAGGUGGGAGGUGGUGAGGCACAGUCACUGGUGACCAUCUUUUCUCCCUAAGACACUCUUGGGAAG
ensembl:lncRNA